rnacentral:rRNA from 1 species
AAGAUGGACUCGCGUCCCAUUAGUUAGUUGGUGAGGUAACGGCUCACCAAGACUUCGAUGGGUAGCCGGCCUGAGAGGGUGAACGGCCACACUGGAACUGAGACACGGUCCAGACUCCUACGGGAGUCAGCAGUGGGGAAUAUUGCACAAUGGGCGAAAGCCUGAUGCAGCGACGCCGCGUGAGUGAAGAAGGUCUUCGGAUCGUAAAACUCUGUCCUUGGAAGCUAGAUUGACGGUACCCAAGGAGGAAGCCCCGGCUAACUACGUGCCAGCAGCCGCGGUAAUACGUAGGGGGCAAGCGUUGUCCGGAAUUAUUGGGCGUAAAGGGUGCGCAGGCGGUCUUUUAAGUCAGAUGUGAAAGGCUACGGCUCAACCGUGGUAAGCAUUUGAAACUGGAAGACUUGAGUACAGGAGAGGGAAGUGGAAUUCCUAGUGUAGCGGUGAAAUGCGUAGAUAUUAGGAGGAACACCAGUGGCGAAGGCGACUUUCUGGACUGUAACUGACGCUGAGGCGCGAAAGCGUGGGGAGCAAACAGGAUUAGAUACCCUGGUAGUCCACGCCGUAAACGAUGAGUGCUAGGUGUAGAGGGUAUCGACCCCUUCUGUGCCGCAGUUAACACAAUAAGCACUCCGCCUGGGGAGUACGGUCGCAAGACUGAAACUCAAAGGAAUUGACGGGGGCCCGCACAAGCAGCGGAGCAUGUGGUUUAAUUCGACGCAACGCGAAGAACCUUACCAGGACUUGACAUCCCUCGCAAUCUGUAGAAAUAUGGAGUUCCCUUCGGGGACGAGGAGACAGGUGGUGCACGGUUGUCGUCAGCUCGUGUCGUGAGAUGUUGGGUUAAGUCCCGCAACGAGCGCAACCCUUGUCCUUAGUUGCCAGCAUGAAAGAUGGGCACUCUAGGGAGACUGCGGAGAUAAUUCGGAGGAAGGUGGGGAUGACGUCAAAUCAUCAUGCCCCUUAUGUCCUGGGCUACACACGUGCUACAAUGGGCUGAACAGAGGGAAGCGAGACCGCGAGGUGGAGCCAAUCCCAUAAAACAGCUCUCAGUUCAGAUCGUAGGCUGCAACUCGCCUACGUGAAGAUGGAGUUGCUAGUAAUCGCGGAUCAGCAUGCCGCGGUGAAUGCGUUCCCGGGCCUUGUACACACCGCCCGUCACACCACGAAAGUCAGC